rnacentral:tRNA from 1 species
GCCCUCAUGGCUCAAUGGAUAGAGCACCGGUCUUCUAAACCGAUGGUUGCAGGUUCGAGUCCUGCUGGGGGCG